GCACAAGCAGUGGAGUAUGUGGUUUAAUUCGAAGCAACGCGAAGAACCUUACCAGGGCUUGACAUCCCUUGAAGCAGCUAGAGAUAGCUGUGUCCUUCGGGACAAGGAGACAGGUGGUGCAUGGUUGUCGUCAGCUCGUGUCGUGAGAUGUUGGGUUAAGUCCCGCAACGAGCGCAACCCCUGUGGUUAGUUGCCAGCAAGUAGCGUUGGGCACUCUAGCCAGACUGCCGGUGAUAAAUCGGAGGAAGGUGGGGACGACGUCAAAUCAUCACGCCCUUUAUGUCCUGGGCUACACACGUACUACAAUGGCCGUUACAACGGGAAGCGAAGGAGCAAUCCGGAGCAAAUCCCUUAAAGGCGGUCCCAGUUCAGAUUGUGGGCUGAAACUCGCCCACAUGAAGGCGGAAUUGCUAGUAAUUGCAGAUCAGCAUGCUGCAGUGAAUACGUUCCCGGGCCUU
rnacentral:rRNA from 1 species